rnacentral:lncRNA from 1 species
UAGCGGAUCAGCCCGGCGGGCUUGACCCGUUUUGCCAUCCCUGGGAAAAAGACCUCAAACAUUCAAAAAGUGUCAAAAAUUUUGGUCAAUUAGCAUAGCACAUUCACAUCAAUGCAAAUAGUUAUAACGAGUGGAAGACAAGCAUUGAGCUCAAGGAAUUGACCAAACUUUUUAAUCAAAACCUCGAGGUAAUUUGGCAAACACUAGGCAUGCAUACGUAUUAAAAAUGUAAAAUCAGUUUAGAACCUUAUUCAAAAGAAUGUCAUUCAACCAAAAUUUCAACUUCUUCUCACAAAACAAGCAUUCUUUAAACCUCAAUUCAUACAAAUUUACUAAGAAUGAUACAAAAAAUCAGUAGCAUACUAUCAAUUUCAGCACAAUCAGUAAUCAGUUAAUAACUAACCAAAUAGUUAACCACAUUCAACCAAGUUCAACAGCAAUAUCCACCAAGCAACAGAAUUUCACAAACACUUCCAGCAGUCUUACACAACUAAUAACCCUAAACCUACCAGCAGCAUACCACAACUAAUAAUCCUAAUCCAUUCAAACAGAAAACUAAAUCUAAGUUCUACUAACUAACUAAAAUCAAACUCAACAGAUUAAAAUUACUAACAACAAUUAACUAACAAAACAACAGCACAUCACUAUAUAUAAAAAUCACAAAACACAACAGAAACACAGCAAAACAGCCCUAGCUAAUCAAUAAUCAAUUAGUCAUUUAAUCUAAGCACAAUUAAGUCAUCAACACAGUCAAAAUCUAAGCACAAUUGAGUCACAAAACACAAAACAAAAGGCAGCAGCACAAUUUUAAUGAAGAUUAACAAGGUUAACCCGGGAACUAAAUCAACUAAAUCAGCAUAAUUUUAACAAAGAUUAACCAGCAAAAUAAAUCAACUAAUCAUUCAAUGAUUCAAUCCAAAACAAGAAAAUAGAGUAUAAUACAGCUAAUCCAAAAAGAUUAAAUGUUCUGAGUAAAGAAUGAAGAACAGAGAACGAAAAUUUAAAAAAAAAAUCAAACCAUUACCUUCGUUCCGAGCAGUCUGAGCAGAGGGGCAGAAGCACGACGGAGACAGAGACCGAGACCAGGCGACGAGCAGUACGACGGACGGCGCAGAAGCGCGGCUGAGCAAACGAGGAACAAUCACUAACAGUGAGCACUGACCUUCGAAGGACGACUGUGAGCAGACGACGUCGACGGUAGAGAACGAGGACCGAGAGCCAAUAGGGGUUGUUCUUGGAGAACCCCGACGGAACGAACAGAGAAGGCCCUGACUUCGACGGACGGCGGCGGUGGCUCACUCCUUGGGGCGGUGAAGCUAGGGUUUCCGUUUUUGUUUGGCUCACUCCUUUGUUCUGACUUCUACGCAGUCUGAGCUGAGGGGCAGAAGUGCGACGGAGACGGAGGCCAGACGACGAGAACGAUGACGGACAGUGGUAGUCCUACGGCUGAGCAAACGAAGAGCAGACUCGUAGACGCCAAGCUCGAGGAAGAAGCUGCGAUUGGUGAGUUGGGACUUCGAGCACCAUGCCCAGACAAAAACGAUGGUACCUGAGCACGAUAGACAACGGCAGGAGAGUGACGGACGACGGCUGGAGUGCGACGGAGCACCAGGGACUAACACUGAGCUCGAAGAAGAAACUGCGACGGACGAGACGGCGGAAAUCCUUGCAGCAAUCCAUGUGACAAUGGUGCUUGGGCGCGAUGGACAGCGCUAGCCCUUGCGGCGGCGGUGGAGAAGCCAGGGUUUCUCACUUUCAAGCUUUAGCUUUCUUUUUGUUUUGUGGAGAAGUGGAGAAGGGAGAAUGCGUUCUCGGCCUACC